rnacentral:rRNA from 1 species
UACAGAGGUCUCAAGCGUUGUUCGGAUUCAUUGGGCGUAAAGGGUGCGUAGGCGGCGCGGUAAGUCGGGUGUGAAAUCUUGGAGCUUAACUCCGAAACUGCAUUCGAUACUGCCGUGCUUGAGGACUGGAGAGGAGACUGGAAUUUACGGUGUAGCGGUGAAAUGCAUAGAGAUCAUGAGGAAGACCAGUGGCGAAGGCGGCCCCUGGCUCGUACCUGACGCUCAGCCACGAAAGCAUGGGGAGCGAACGGG